UACGAAGGGGGCGAGCGUUGUUCGGAAUUACUGGGCGUAAAGGGCGCGCAGGCGGCUCUGAAAGUCAGAUGUGAAAGCCCCGGGCUUAACCUGGGAAUUGCAUUCGAUACUCUGGAGCUUGAGUACGGGAGAGGAGAGUGGAAUUCCCAGUGUAGAGGUGAAAUUCGUAGAUAUUGGGAAGAACACCGGUGGCGAAGGCGGCUCUCUGGACCGUAACUGACGCUGAGGCGCGAAAGCGUGGGGAGCAAACAGG
rnacentral:rRNA from 1 species